rnacentral:rRNA from 1 species
UGGAUGAUGUGGAUUAAUUCGAUGCAACGCGAAAACCUUACCUACCCUUGUACAGUGUCCGGAAUCCGAAGAGAUUUGGGAGUGCUCGCAAGAGAGCCGGAACACAGGUGCUGCAUGGCUGUCGUCAGCUCGUGUCGUGAGAUGUUGGGUUAAGUCCCGCAACGAGCGCAACCCUUGUCAUUAGUUGCCAGCAUUCAGUUGGGCACUCUAAGGUGACUGCCGGCUAAAAAGUCGGAGGAAGGUGGGAUGACGUCAAAUCAUCAUGCCCCUUAUGUUCUGGGCUACACACGUGCUACAAUGGCCGGUACAGACGGACGCAAAGCCGCGAGGUGGAGCAAAUCCUAAAAAGCCGGUCUCAGUUCGGAUUGCAGGCUGCAAUUCGCCUGCAUGAAGUCGGAAUCGCUAGUAAUCGCAGGUCAGCAUACUGCGGUGAAUACGUUCCCGGGCCUU